CCUACGGGUGGCAGCAGUGGGGAAUAUUGCACAAUGGGGGAAACCCUGAUGCAGCGACGCCGCGUGAGUGAAGAAGUAAUUCGUUAUGUAAAGCUCUAUCAGCAGGGAAGAAAAUGACGGUACCUGAGUAAGAAGCCCCGGCUAACUACGUGCCAGCAGCCGCGGUAAUACGUAGGGGGCAAGCGUUAUCCGGAUUUACUGGGUGGAAAGGGAGCGUAGACGGCAGUGCAAGUCUGGAGUGAAAGGCGGGGGCUCAACCCGCGGACUGCUCUGGAAACUGUACGGCUGGAGUGCAGGAGAGGUAAGUGGAAUUCCUAGUGUAGCGGUGAAAUGCGUAGAUAUGAGGAGGAACACCAGUGGCGAAGGCGGCUUACUGGACUGUAACUGACGUUGAGGCUCGAAAGCGUGGGGAGCAAACAGGAUUAGAUACCCCUGUAGUC
rnacentral:rRNA from 1 species